UUUGUUUUACUGUAAUACUCAAGAAACAUAGUCAGUUAGGGAUUCAUACCCAACUUUUAUGGGUUCAAGGCGUAAUUGUUGUUGCAGAUUUAGGGUUCUACUCAAAUAUUUUUGAGUAGGGUCACUGCAAGAAAACUGUGACAGGUGUUGAAUUUGAAAGAAAUCUCCUAUAGUUGCAGAUGAUAUCCUAGAUGUUCUAGAGGCAUGUUAGGAAUAGGAGUUCCUUUGUUUUCUUGCUAACUUCUUACUGCAUGUAAAGGGUUUCUGCACUACCUAAGUGCUGGUUCAUAAUACAAAUGAUACUUUCUCAAAAAAAAAAAGUAGGAGUUAUCUCAAUGAAGCAAUUUCUAUUUUGUUGGUUAUAUUUCUUUGUUUUACUGUAAUACUCAAGAAACAUAGUCAGUUAGGGAUUCAUACCCAACUUUUAUGGGUUCAAGGCGUAAUUGUUGUUGCAGAUUUAGGGUUCUACUCAAAUAUUUUUGAGUAGGGUCACUGCAAGAAAACUGUGACAGGUGUUGAAUUUGGUCAUGUCUAAUGCUCUAUUGGCGGGAUUUCAUAUAUUACAAUUUAAGAGAAGAUGAAGCAGAAAGCAAUUGAACGACUCUUGCCUUUUUUAAGCUUUCCACUUAAGGGAUGAUCAUCUCUGGUAUGCAUCAUUUAAUGUUUUUGCUUAAAAUGUGGAUGUUUGUAUGCAGCUUGAGGGUAAAUGAUUUUUCAACAUGCUUAUUGAGAUGAUAUUUACCCCAACCAAGGUGUAUUUACCAGCUUUCUCAGCAAGAACAUUCAAGCCUGCUGCCAGAAACCCUAACAAAAAUAUUGCAAAAGACCCGGUUUAGAAUGUCAUAUGAUUUACCCCAAACCACCAUAAUGCCCCUAACCAAUCCACAGUAUGUAUAGGAGGCACUAUGCUGUGUACUUAGCUUGUAC
rnacentral:lncRNA from 1 species